UACGGGGGGGGCAAGCGUUGUUCGGAAUUACUGGGCGUAAAGGGCUUGUAGGUGGCCAACUAAGUCAGACGUGAAAUCCCUCGGCUUAACCGGGGAACUGCGUCUGAUACUGGAUGGCUUGAGUGUGGGAGAGGGAUGCGGAAUUCCAGGUGUAGCGGUGAAAUGCGUAGAUAUCUGGAGGAACACCGGUGGCGAAGGCGGCAUCCUGGACCACGACUGACGCUGAGUGAGCGAAAGCCAUGGGAGCAAACGGG
rnacentral:rRNA from 1 species